rnacentral:rRNA from 1 species
GGGGAAUAUUGCACAAUGGAGGAAACUCUGAUGCAGCGACGCCGCGUGAAGGAUGAAGUAUUUCGGUAUGUAAACUUCUAUCAGCAGGGAAGAUAGUGACGGUACCUGACUAAGAAGCCCCGGCUAACUACGUGCCAGCAGCCGCGGUAAUACGUAGGGGGCAAGCGUUAUCCGGAUUUACUGGGUGUAAAGGGAGCGUAGGCGGGACGGUAAGUCAGGUGUGAAAUAUACGUGCUCAACAUGUAGACUGCACUUGAAACUGCUGUUCUUGAGUGAAGUAGAGGUAAGCGGAAUUCCUAGUGUAGCGGUGAAAUGCGUAGAUAUUAGGAGGAACAUCGGUGGCGAAGGCGGCUUACUGGGCUUUUACUGACGCUGAGGCUCGAAAGCGUGGGGAGCAAACAGGAUUAGAUACCCUGGUAGUCCACGCUGUAAACGAUGAUUACUAGGUGUGGGGGGACUGACCCCUUCCGUGCCGCAGUUAACACGAUAAGUAAUCCACCUGGGGAGUACGACCGCAAGGUUGAAACUCAAAGGAAUUGACGGGGGCCCGCACAAGCAGUGGAGUAUGUGGUUUAAUUCGAAGCAACGCGAAGAACCUUACCAGGUCUUGACAUCGUAUGCAUAGUCUAGAGAUAGAUGAAAUCCCUUCGGGGACAUAUAGACAGGUGGUGCAUGGUUGUCGUCAGCUCGUGUCGUGAGAUGUUGGGUUAAGUCCCGCAACGAGCGCAACCCUUAUUGUCAGUAGCCAGCAGGUGAAGCUGGGCACUCUGAUGAGACUGCCGGGGAUAACCCGGAGGAAGGUGGGGAUGACGUCAAAUCAUCAUGCCCCUUAUGAGCAGGGCUACACACGUGCUACAAUGGCGUAAACAGAGGGAAGCGAAGGAGUGAUCUGGAGCAAAUCUCAAAAAUAACGUCUCAGUUCGGAUUGUAGUCUGCAACUCGACUACAUGAAGCUGGAAUCGCUAGUAAUCGCAGAUCAGAAUGCUGCGGUGAAUACGUUCCCG